rnacentral:rRNA from 1 species
AACUGCCCGAUGGAGGGGGAUAACUACUGGAAACGGUAGCUAAUACCGCAUAACGUCGCAAGACCAAAGUGGGGGACCUUCGGGCCUCACACCAUCGGAUGUGCCCAGAUGGGAUUAGCUAGUAGGUGGGGUAAUGGCUCACCUAGGCGACGAUCCCUAGCUGGUCUGAGAGGAUGACCAGCCACACUGGAACUGAGACACGGUCCAGACUCCUACGGGAGGCAGCAGUGGGGAAUAUUGCACAAUGGGCGCAAGCCUGAUGCAGCCAUGCCGCGUGUAUGAAGAAGGCCUUCGGGUUGUAAAGUACUUUCAGCGGGGAGGAAGGCGGUGAGGUUAAUAACCUCACCGAUUGACGUUACCCGCAGAAGAAGCACCGGCUAACUCCGUGCCAGCAGCCGCGGUAAUACGGAGGGUGCAAGCGUUAAUCGGAAUUACUGGGCGUAAAGCGCACGCAGGCGGUCUGUCAAGUCGGAUGUGAAAUCCCCGGGCUUAACCUGGGAACUGCAUUCGAAACUGGCAGGCUAGAGUCUUGUAGAGGGGGGUAGAAUUCCAGGUGUAGCGGUGAAAUGCGUAGAGAUCUGGAGGAAUACCGGUGGCGAAGGCGGCCCCCUGGACAAAGACUGACGCUCAGGUGCGAAAGCGUGGGGAGCAAACAGGAUUAG